AAUUUGCACAAUGGGUGCUCUAGGAUAAACCAAGAGCUGAGAAACACCAUUUGACCUGAUCUGGUUCGUACCAGCGUAGGAAUGUGUUUGUACAGGGGA
rfam:Lactococcus garvieae Lg2 DNA, complete genome.